rnacentral:rRNA from 1 species
GAUGAACGCUGGCGGCGUGCCUAAUACAUGCAAGUCGAGCGGACAGACGAGGAGCUUGCUCCUCUGACGUUAGCGGCGGACGGGUGAGUAACACGUGGAUAACCUACCUAUAAGACUGGGAUAACUUCGGGAAACCGGAGCUAAUACCGGAUAAUAUAUUGAACCGCAUGGUUCAAUAGUGAAAGACGGUUUUGCUGUCACUUAUAGAUGGAUCCGCGCCGCAUUAGCUAGUUGGUAAGGUAACGGCUUACCAAGGCGACGAUGCGUAGCCGACCUGAGAGGGUGAUCGGCCACACUGGAACUGAGACACGGUCCAGACUCCUACGGGAGGCAGCAGUAGGGAAUCUUCCGCAAUGGGCGAAAGCGUGACGGAGCAACGCCGCGUGAGUGAUGAAGGUCUUCGGAUCGUAAAACUCUGUUAUUAGGGAAGAACAAAUGUGUAAGUAACUAUGCACGUCUUGACGGUACCUAAUCAGAAAGCCACGGCUAACUACGUG